rnacentral:rRNA from 1 species
AUGCAGUCGAACGAGAAAGUGGAGCAAUCCAUGAGUACAGUGGCGUACGGGUGAGUAACACGUGGGUAAUCUACCUUUUAGUGAGGAAUAACCCUGGGAAACCGGGGCUAAUACCGCAUGAGCCCGAGAGGGGAAAGCAGAAAUGCGCUGAAAGAGGAGCCCGCGGCCGAUUAGCUAGUUGGUGAGGUAAGAGCCCACCAAGGCAGAGAUCGGUAGCCGGCCUGAGAGGGCACACGGCCACACUGGCACUGAAACACGGGCCAGACUCCUACGGGAGGCAGCAGUGGGGAAUCUUGCACAAUGGGGGAAACCCUGAUGCAGCGACGCCGCGUGAGCGAUGAAGCCCUUCGGGGUGUAAAGCUCUUUCGUCAGGGAAGAUAGUGACGGUACCUGGAGAAGCAGCUGCGGCUAACUACGUGCCAGCAGCCGCGGUAAUACGUAGGCAGCAAGCGUUGUUCGGAGUUACUGGGCGUAAAGGGUGUGUAGGCGGUUCUUUAAGUUUGGUGUGAAAUCUCCCGGCUUAACCGGGAGGGUGCGCCGAAUACUGAGGGACUAGAGUACGGGAGAGGAAAGUGGAAUUCCUGGUGUAGCGGUGAAAUGCGUAGAUAUCAGGAGGAACACCGGUGGUGUAGACGGCUUUCUGGACCGUAACUGACGCUGAGACACGAAAGCGUGGGUAGCAAACAGGAUUAGAUACCCUGGUAGUCCACGCCCUAAACGAUGCAUAUUUGGUGUGGGCAGUUCAUUCUGUCUGUGCCGGAGCUAACGCGUUAAAUAUGCCGCCUGGGGAGUACAGUCGCAAGGCUGAAACUCAAAGGAAUUGACGGGGGCCCGCACAAGCGGUGGAGCAUGUGGUUCAAUUCGACGCAACGCGAAGAACCUUACCUGGGCUCGAACGGCUUCUCAACGUCGUUAGAAAUAGCGAUACCCCGCAAGGGGGGUGGGAGUCGAGGUGCUGCAUGGCUGUCGUCAGCUCGUGUCGUGAGAUGUUGGGGUUAAGUCCCGCAACGAGCGC